rnacentral:misc_RNA from 1 species
GAAAUGCGAUAAGUAGUGUGAAUUGCAGAAUUCAGUGAAUCAUCGAAUCUUUGAACGCACAUUGCGCCCUUUGGUAUUCCAAAGGGCAUGCCUGUUCGAGCGUCAUUUGUACCCUCAAGCUCUGCUUGGUGUUGGGCGUCUUUGUCUUCCCAGAAGACUCGCCUUAAAGUCAUUGGCAGCCGGCCUACUGGUUUCGGAGCGCAGCACAAGUCGCGCUCUCUUCCAGCCAAGGUCAGCGUCCACAAAGCCUUUUUUCAACUUUUGACCUCGGAUCAGGUAGGGAUACCCGCUGAACUUAA